ACAGCAAAGGAGUGGCAGUAUCGUAGCCAAUGAGGUUAAUCCGAGGCACGAUUAUUGCUAAUUGCAAAGGAUCUGGCUGAUAUUUUGACUUCUUCCUGGCAUUGCCAUCUUGUGUUUUAAACUAUGAAGAUUAUUUUGCUAG